AAUUUGGGAACGAGAUGCCCGGGGAUGCAACCAGCCCCGCGCUCGGAGGCGGCGGUCGGAGUUCCGUGCGCAGAGGGCACACAAAAGCCUCGAGGAUCAUUGCCUCGACCCCAUCCCCCACCGCGCGGCGACGCCCCCUACGGGCUGGGACACCUCCACUCUCGGACUGCUGCCGGGUUUCCCUCCGGCUGCGACCCUGGAGGAUUUGAUGGAAAUGCUACAAGAGAAGCAGGCUCUCCCCUUCUGAAAUGAUGAGUGAUAAUGACCAUACAGGUCAACUUUUCCACCACUUGGAGGGAGCCUGUCAAAGAACAAAGGCAACAGAGAAGAGAGCAGAGCUGAGGUUGGGUGAGAGGGAGAAAUUCCUGAGUGCUUGAAUCCCACAUGCCGGAAGCCGCACCACACUUGGACUUCUCAAUACAGGAGCCACUGAGAAACCAAGUCAUGCUGAAGACCUGGAAAUCCCAGCAGGCUGCAAACCAGCUGCAACUACAAUGGGUCAGCCCUUUUGAGAUGCUGCUGACUACCCACUUAUCUGCCAAGUUAGCCAGUGUUAAGCCAUGGAUUCACCACGCUCAGAUAAAACCUGCCCCUCUGGGAUCCCUCCAGAAAAAAACAGGCAUGCUGUUGUGAACCCUAAGAUGGCCUUAAGUUAAUAUUCAAUGCCCAGCCAAAGACCCUAAAUAAGAAGUCAUAAAGGAAACAUGUGCUUUUCAGGUUGGUAUUAUUCUCCCCAAAACCCUUCUUGCAUGCAGGAUGUAAUGAAUCAGAAAUAGUUGUUAGUAAUUUUUUUUUUUUUGAGACAGAGUCUCACUCUGUCACUCAGGCUGGAGUGCAGUGGUAUAAUCUCAGCUCACUGCAACCUCCACCUCUCAGGUUCAAGCAAUUCUCAUGCUUCAGCCUCCCAAGUAGCUAGGACUACAGGUGUGCACCACCAUGCCCAGGUAAUUUUUGUAUUUUUAAUAGAUACAGGGUUUCACCACGUUGCUCAGGCUGGUCUUGAACUCCUGACCUCAAGUGAGCCACAUCUGCCUCAGCCUCCCGGAGUGCUAGGAUUGCAGGUGUGAGCCACCACACCCAGCCAUGAAUCAGAAAUACUUUUUAAUAGGCUUAGGAUUGUUCUCUUGGAUUCCUUAAGGGAUCCACUUUAAUUCUUGGGUGUUUUUUUUUUUUUUAAUCAUGGUGCUCCAACAAGCGGGAUGCCAGUCAGGUAAUCCUGAGCACUUCAGAUUCAGGGGUGAUGUUUGCAUUUCCCAUCAUUAUCCCACAAUGCACCCCUUAGCAUUAAGUAGCCAAAAAGGCAGACAACCAUAUUCCCCAUGAUCGAAAAAUUGAUGAAUAGAAAAAAGGGGAUUAAAACCAGCCCAAUUGUCCCAUAGAAAUGAUAUUACGGUUUUUAAAAGAAACAUAAAAAUUAACCUUCCUGUUUUUAAAAUUUAAAACUUACAUUUAUCUCAUCUGAAUUCCUUCCUCAAAAAACAGACACUCAGGCAAAAACAAAAACCUAAAACUCAUCAGAUCACUGUAUCCAGACAGAGACGCCAGACCCCUCAUCCAUCAUGAUUGCUUCUAUACUCCUCCUUAAUUCCUAUUUUCCCACCUUUCCUGCUAUACAAAACCCCCAAUUUUAGUCGGUCAGACAAACACAUUUGAGACUUUAUCUCCUGUUCUCCUUGGCUGCAACACCCCGUUAAAGUUUUCUUCCCUGGCAAUAGUUACUGUCUCAGUGAUUGGCAUUCUGUGUAACAAGCAGCAGAACCUAGACUGGAACCCUGGUGUUUCAGUAACAUUACCUUGUAGUAAAUGCUGUUGUGUCAUGCCCAGAUUCACUUUACCAAGCCCAGAUCCCACAGAUUAAAGGGCUCAGCUCCACAAGACUUCAGACACCAGCCACAAAUGGGGUCCCCAGGUGACCCACACUUCUGCCCAGUGGACUAUAAAUUCAAGGGUUCUGUGACUUUCCCUACCCAGCUUUGAUAAUUCACUAGAAUCCUCACAGAACUCAGGAAAAUGCCAUACCUACUAUUACACUUUAUUAUGAUGGACACACACGAGCAGCCAGAUGGAGGGGUACUGAGGAAGCAUCUGAAUGCAGGAGGCUCUGUCCCUGGAGAGUUGGGAUGAGCCACUCUCCUGGAUGUGUUCACCAACUCAGAAGCUCUCCAAGCCCCAUUGUGUAGGGAUUUUUUAUGGCAGUUUCAGUAAGUACACAUGAUUGAUUAAAUCAUUGGCCAUUGGUGAUUGAACUCAAUCUCUAGCCCCUCUCCUGCUCUCAGAGGUGGAAGAGCAAGGCUGGAAGUUCUAACCUUCUCAGUACAUGGUUGGUUUUUCCUGUGUCCAGGUCCCAUCCUAAAGCUACCUAGGCCCCCUCUGCCCAACAAGAGUCUUCUCAUUAGCAAAAGAGUAAUUUCCAAGGGUGUUAGGAGCUCUAUGCUGGGAACCAGGGACCAAGAGUAAAUAUAUAUUUUGUAUUUUACCACAGGUACCAAUCACCCUCCAGAUCUAAGAAUGGCUUCAGGCUGGGGCUGCAGUCACCUCUUUGCCCAGCUUCUCCCCUGCCCUAUUCUGCUUCACUUGCAUCCUUAAAGGUUCCACCCAAGAGCUCUUCUACAAGAAAGCACCUAUAAAGCCAGACACAUUGGCUUAUGCCUAUAAUCCUAGCACUUUGGGAGGCCAAGGUAGGAGGAUGGCUUGAGGCCAGGAGUUCAAGACCAGCCUGGGCAACUUAGUGAGGCCCCGUCUCUAUAAAAAAUAAAAAAAUUAACCAGGUGUGGUGGUGCACGUCUCUAGUCUCAGCUACUCAGGAGGCUGUGGCAGGAAGAUGGCUUGAGCCCAGGAGGUUGAGGCUGCAGUGAACUAAGAUCAUGCCACUGCACCCAUCUUGGGCAACAGAAUGAGAUCCUGUCUCUAAAAAAAUAAAAACAAUUUACAACAGUAAGCACCUGUACACAAGCCCCAUCUCCAGUCCUGUUUCUAGGGCUUCCAAUUUAACACACCUAGAGGCUGGGCAUAGUAGCUCAUGCCUGUAAUCCCAAUACUUUGGGAGGCUGAGGCAAGUGAAGCACUUGAGGUCAGGAGUUCGAGACCAGCCUGGCCAACAUGGCAAAACCCCAUCUCUACUAAAAAUGCAAACAUUAGCUGGGCAUGGUGGCACAUGCCUGUAAUCCCAGCUACUCGGGAGGCUGAGACAGGAGAAUCACUUGAACCCAGGAGGUGGAGGUUACAGUGAGCCAAGAUCACACCACUGUACCACAGCCUGAGCAACGAAAGAAGACUCUGUCUAAAAAAAGUAAAAAAUAAAAUAAAACACACCUGGAGCUUUCUA
rnacentral:lncRNA from 10 species